ACACUGAUCUGUCCCUGCGUGGCCAGCAGGAAUCCAGCUUCCCACAGUCCGGAGGGCAGCAACCUGGGCGCUGUAUGCUAGCAACGCCUCCGAAGGCCUGGCCUGACCGCCCGCAUCCCCCAGGCCGCGCCGUUUCCUGGAGGAGGCUCCUGCAGUCCAAAGAGUGGCACUUCCCCACUGAACACUCCAGGUGCGGGGAAAGAGGAGUGAGGCCUGGCUCCAGGGAGCUUAGUGUUUGGAGAAUGCUGACUGACUCUGGAGGAAGCCCAAAUCCGACUCUCCAGAGGUGACCCCUGGCAACCGUGUGCUGAUGCGGCCCCAGUUCUCCCCGCGCCCACGUAAGGUGUGUACGCAAAGAGAUUCGAAAAAGGCAGAAUGGUGCUGACCUAUUGUUUUGUGAUCUCUGUCUCCGACUUAACCAGAUGGACCUCUUCUCACUCCAGCAUUUGCAGAUUAGCCAGAGUCCGAACAUGGCACUGACGGGGUCACAAUUUACUCCUCCUGUUUACGGACACGUGGUUUUCCAGGUUGCUGUUAUUAGGAACAGUGCCACAGGCACAGCCGGCAACGCAGAGCUUUGCUCUCAGGUGGUAGCGUUUUGGGGCUAGAUUCCUAGGAUCCGGUUGUGAAAACUAGUAAAAUCUGAUUAAUUUUGGCCACAUUUCCUUUCA